rnacentral:other from 1 species
AUAUAUCUGAUGUGUUCGAGAGAUAGUCAAUGUGUUGACCGAACAUUUUACAUUAGGGAUUCUUCAAUCGAAUACAUAUGACAAGCCAUCGCAUGUGGAAGUCAGAACCAAUUCGUGAGAACCCCACCUGAUUGCUAGCGGGUUCAACCUAGCUUUAUUGAAACGGCACGAUUCGGAUAUAUU